AUUGAACGCUGGCGGAAUGCUUUACACAUGCAAGUCGAGCGGCAGCGCGGGGGCAACCCUGGCGGCGAGCGGCGAACGGGUGAGUAACAUAUCGGAACGUACCCCGUCGUGGGGGAUAACACAGCGAAAGCUGUGCUAAUACCGCAUACGACCUGAGGGUGAAAGCGGGGGAUCGCAAGACCUCGCGCGAUGGGAGCGGCCGAUAUCGGAUUAGCUCGUUGGUGAGGUAAAGGCUCACCAAGGCGACGAUCCGUAGCUGGUCUGAGAGGACGACCAGCCACACUGGAACUGAGACACGGUCCAGACUCCUACGGGAGGCAGCAGUGGGGAAUUUUGGACAAUGGGGGCAACCCUGAUCCAGCCAUUCCGCGUGAGUGAAGAAGGCCUCGGUUGUAAAGCUCUUUCAGCAGGAACGAAACGGUAGGCCAUUAAUACUGGCUACUAAUGACGGUACCUGAAGAAGAAGCACCGGCUAACUACGUAGCCAGCAGCCGCGGUAAGU
rnacentral:rRNA from 1 species